UACGUAGGGACCAAGCGUUGUUCGGAUUUACUGGGCGUAAAGGGCGCGUAGGCGGCUUGUCAAGUCACUUGUGAAAUCUUUGGGCUUAACCCAGAACGGCCAAGUGAAACUGACAUGCUAGAGUGCAGAAGGGGCAAUCGGAAUUCUUGGUGUAGCGGUGAAAUGCGUAGAUAUCAAGAGGAACACCUGAGGUGAAGACGGGUUGCUGGGCUGACACUGACGCUGAGGCGCGAAAGCCAGGGGAGCAAACGGG
rnacentral:rRNA from 1 species